GAUGAACGCUGGCGGCGUGCCUAAUACAUGCAAGUCGAACGGCACCCCUCUCCGGAGGGAAGCGAGUGGCGAACGGCUGAGUAACACGUGGAGAACCUGCCCCCUCCCCGGGAUAGCCGCCCGAAAGGACGGGUAAUACCGGAUACCCCCGGGCGCCGCAUGGCGCCCGGGCUAAAGCCCCGACGGGAGGGGAUGGCUCCGCGGCCCAUCAGGUAGACGGCGGGGUGACGGCCCACCGUGCCGA
rnacentral:rRNA from 1 species